rnacentral:rRNA from 1 species
CAAACGACUCUCGGCAACGGAUAUCCCGGCUCUCGCAUCGAUGAAGAACGUAGCGAAAUGCGAUACUUGGUGUGAAUUGCAGAAUCCCGUGAACCAUCGAGUCUUUGAACGCAAGUUGCGCCCGAAGCCAUUAGGUUGAGGGCACGUCUGCCUGGGUGUCACG